AGUUGCUUCCCCGAGCACUGGGAAAGACAUCCGAGCCUGUCUGAGGAGGCAGAGCUGGUAGGUUCCCGGCUGCUGAGAUGACAGUCUUCACUGCUCUCAUCCCGAAGUCAUAGUGGUCCUGUACAUACCGCACAGAAGAGGCAUGUGUGGAUGCUGACCUGUGAACAUGGCCUCCCACAUGGAAUCUGACUAAUGCCUCACCACCCAUCUUGGAGCUGAGAUGUCAUUUCGCCCAGAGACCUGCUAUGGCUACUCACCUGCACACUGCAGCCUGGGCGAGGUGCCCUCCUUUGGCUGCUUGGCACCUUCUAUGUCACCAUCCCAACAGUCCUUUGGCUAUAGGAGUCCCUGUUCUGAAGCUCUCUCUCACAGAGGGGGGAGUUUGGAACAGCUCUGGAGGUGGUAAUAUUUCGGUCGGAGGCCGCGGAAUGACAAGGGGUCUUACCUGGGAGCUGAGCUGCUCAGAAGACAGCUUGAAGGUGGUGGUGAUCUUCUUAGCCAGCACAUUGGCCUCGUUGAAGCCGAAGGAAUACAGUGAGAUCUCAGCAAUCAUGGCGUAAUCGGGGACCAUCAUGGCCACAGGUCGGAAGAGGGCCUGGACCCACAACACACUCAGGAAAGGCAGACACAUCACAGCCCCACCCAGGGCCUUAACACGCUCUCUGGAUGGUCUGAUUCAUAGCUAGCGCUGGGACUCUCUGUACCACACCUGCCACACUGAGGCUUCCACUCCUCAGUGGCUGUGAAGCUCAUACCAUUAAAAAUAGGUGCUUUGUGUUGAUGAA
rnacentral:lncRNA from 1 species